CGCCACCUAUUGAACUUUAGAAAGCAUAAAGAAACCCAAAUGAGCUUCUUAGGUGAAUUGGUUCUGCUGUUCAAGCUAGUUCUCCUCAUAUAGUAAUUAAAUCAAAUGGAAAAAGAAAAGGGGGUUCUUUGUGUCAGUUACAGAAAUAGCCUAACAUACUAGUAUGCUAAAAAAUUGGCUAAAAUGCUGAUUAUUUUGGAAUAAAACAUUUCAAUUAUCCAGGAAAGAAAUGCCUAUGCAAAAAAAGUUUAAGCAAUAUAAACCAUAUCAACAUGUUACAAAAGGUCUUCAUUAUCUUUAUUGGUUCAACACCUACCUUCACCAUGAUUCCAUCAUAACGAAAGCAAACAAGGAAAAUAGUGUUGGAAAAUAACAAAAUGUACUGAAUCACAUUAAUGAGCUGGAUCUAAAAACGGGACAGAGAGGAGAAAAAAAGCAUAUUCUCUAAACCCAGGUUCUUAUCCUGAUUCUGCCAAUGCCAUGCCAACAUUGGCAGCAUUCCCAUUUACCUUUCACCAAUUCAAUUAAGAAAAUGGAAAACUCUAUGGGUGGCUGAUUCUUUUUCUCCCUCUGGAAACACGAAGUGAGCCAAGAAAAAAAAUAUAUAAACAAGGGGCUGUCUUUCUUCUACCUUUGCAUUUUCCAAGUUAUCCAAACAAAUAGAAAAUAUUAGGUGGCUCAAAUCACUUCGAUUUCUUCCUUCUGCUUAGGAUUUCCAAAAACAAGUUCCCUCCUUUGGAAGAUAAUCAAAAUUAUAAUUAAAAAUCUAUUUG
rnacentral:lncRNA from 1 species